UUCUGCUGUUGAUUGCACUUCUUGUACUUUAUUGUCUAAUUAAGGUCAGAAUAUAGGCUAUAAUUUAAUUCCUUAAACAUAUUAGUAUAGUUUAUUGUAGGUUUUUGAUAUGUGUGUUUUCAUGUAAAUGUUUAAUGUCUACUCUCUUUCGAACACACAUUUAGCAGUCAGUUGUGUUUAUAACAGACAUCAGCAGAACGUGGCUUCUCUUGAACAUACGUCAGCACACACAGCAGAUAUUUAAGUUGGAACAGGCAAGACCAAAACAGAUCUAAAACAACAAGCGCACGACCCUGUCCAAGAUGAUGAUGCUUUUAGUUGCUCUUUUCCUUGGGAACAUUCCUUCAUUUGCUUUCUCUGCAUCAUCCCAGCCACAUAUUAAUUGUCUUGUCAUAAAUCUGGACUAUGUUAACUGCACAUGGACUGAGCAUGAGCACAAUUACACUUUCAGGAGCAGGUUUACUCACAGAGAAACUCUGGAUUGUCCAGAAUAUCUCAGGAUUGAUGGUGUUAACGUGGGCUGUGUAUUCCCCUACAAAACAGCACAGCGGUUUAAUACAUUAGA